GCAUCGGUAGUGCAAUGGUUACCAUAUGCUCCCUUAAAGAUGAGAUCUGGGUUCGAAUCCCGGCUGAUGCG